GAAGAGUAUCACGUGUAUUCCGCCGACUGCUUUUGUUGUUACGCACUUCAUCAACUAGUCUUUGAUAUAAAAAAGAAGAAUAAAUUAAAGCUAACAAGUAAGUAAAUAAUGGAAGGUUUUGUAUUUUUUUGUAUUUCACUUUAGCUUAAGAGUAGCCGGUGUAUGCUGCUUUGAUAUGCUGAAAAGAUGGUAAUGUUCUUCUUCCUAUGUUGGUUCGUUUAAUUAUCACCGGUAUGCUCAACAGUGGAAAAGCUGCAAAACAUUAUGUCAUAUGUUGUGAAUUUAAAUGUAGCCAUAUUACGUCACUUGAUAUUGUUUACAACCAAAAGUGUGUGGUUAGGUUUUUUGUUUGUGUAUGCAAACAGCAUGAUCAACAAUAUGCUCCAUUUUCCUUGGUUUAUUAGUCUUCUAUCAAAAGGGAAAAGUUUUAUAAUCAUAAAAGUCUUUUGUUAAUCAAAAAACAAUAUCUCUUUGAGAAUAAAAUUGGUUUUUUUACCAAUUUUUCCAGUCAUUUCAUCGCAUAUACGUUUUGAAAACGGUGACGACAUCCACUACACUGGACUAGCAUUCAUAUAUUUUCAUGCCGACUCAUUCUUAAUCUCUACCAACUAACUACUGUUACGUUUUCUUUUUUUUUUCAAGUUUAGGAUAAAAGGUAGAAAUCCCAAGUUCCAUCUCAACGUCUUUAUUUGAUUCUU